rnacentral:rRNA from 1 species
UACGAAGGGGGCAAGCGUUGCUCGGAAUCACUGGGCGUAAAGCGCACGUAGGCGGAUUGCUAAGUCAGGGGUGAAAUCCUGGAGCUCAACUCCAGAACUGCCUUUGAUACUGAAGAUCUUGAGUUCGGGAGAGGUGAGUGGAACUGCGAGUGUAGAGGUGAAAUUCGUAGAUAUUCGCAAGAACACCAGUGGCGAAGGCGGCUCACUGGCCCGAUACUGACGCUGAGGCACGAAAGCGUGGGGAGCAAACAGG